GCAACUUUAGAAACUAGGGUUUUCGAAGUGAAACUUACUUGAAAUGGGUAUCAUCGUGAUCGUAUGGUCUUCAGGAGUACGAUGGCACUCUUAAAUCCGUCGUUGGUGGAAGUUUAGGGUGUUUUUGUGGUGGUCUUGGUGGUUGCCGUGUGUUCGAGAGGGUGAGAGAGAGAGAUCUGAAAUGGAAGAAGAAGAGAGAAAAGGAAAGGUUACGGAAAAUGGGGAGGAAAUUAGGGUAUAGGACCCUACCUAAAGUCCAACACAACAAUAGCUUAGAAAUUUUAGGUAAAACAAACACCAAAAUUACGCACCUUAAUCCCGUUUAAGGGCGUUUUUGUAAUUUCACGUCCUCGGAAUUAAAAAUUCCGGGACGGGCUGUGACAAUCUCCCCUCCUUAUAGAAUUUCGUCCCCGAAAUUCCAGCCACCAACCAAACUCUCAAUACUAAAAAAAUAGCCUCGGAUACAUAUCUCUCAUCCGUUCUUUUGUCUCCCAAGUAGCUUCUUCUGCUGAAUGGUUCAUCCACAAUACUUUUACCAAGCUCACGAUCUUAUUCCUCAGAGUCUUAUCUUUCCAAUCCAGUAUAGUCACUGGUUCCUCAUCAAGUCGAAUCCGGAUUAAUCUCCAAAGGUUGAACCAGAAUCUUAUGCGACAAAUCUGCCACCUAGUGACAACGCAUCGAACACAAAAUACAUUAUGUGCCUUAGCCAAUUCUGAAGGCAUCACAAACUUGUAUGCAACUUCAUCGAUUCCUUUAGUGAUCAAAAACGAUCUGAUGUGUCUAAGACUUAUCUUGUCUUCCUUUCCAAAUCUUGCUAUUUCUUUUCAUGGUGAAAUUUCCAAAAAUAUCAAACCAUUUACCUUACACACUCGAUUAGUGGCAUAUCCAUCUGUUGAUCUCUUUUGCCAUUCAUGGUUACUUCAGGUUAACUUAAUCACCUUAAUACUUUGAGGAGACUCAUCCAUAGUCUCAGGGUCUACUAAAACUCUUUCUUGAUCGAAUCUUUCUCUACCCAGAAACGUUCCAUUCACAAGUCAUCAAAAACCGACUCACAUGACACAUUUCAUGGUCCUUAUGGCGUUACUUCGGAAACUGCACAACCAACAUACUUAAGAAACUUAGCAGUUCCGUAAUCUAAUUCUCUUUUCCAUAAAACAAAUAAGUAGUGUUGCACUGUCUGGGAAAGGUUGUUACUCAACACUGGAGUAAAUGUACUAACUUGUUACUUAACAAGUAUAACUUCUUCUCGAUCUUCCAUUCUUAAUUUUUCUUCCGUUGGUUUUCAAUCCACAAGAUGAUACUCUUGGCAACGUGCCAGAUAUUAAUCUUACUGUAGUCUUCUCACCAAGUGCUUCAACUAGAACAAACUUUACGAUCACCCUGAUCGUACAAUCAUGUUCAUUAAGCAAUACAAUUCACUUUCGCUGCCUCAUAUCAAAAUCCUUCCAAGUAAUGGAUAUUGAAGACUUUUUGGAUUCGUAAAAAAAAUCUUGCAUUCCUACUAAAAUAUAAUGUCUCCAUAACUUCACAGCAAGAAUGGUAAUCGUGACUUCCAAAUCACCAGUAGGGUAAUUCAUCUUAUGAGAUUCCAUUCAUCGUGGAACGUAUGCAAUCACCCUAACAUUUGCAUCAACAUGCCUCCAAUACCAUUCAAGAAACAUCACUAAAAAUUUAUGAUUACCACUAUUCUCUGGGAAUACCAAAAAUACGUGCAUGAGUGAGGAAAAUACUUCAGUUGUUUGAAUCCUUUGCUCACAAUUUCCUUCCCACUCAUACAUGACCUCUUUUCUCAACAGUCUCGGUCAAUGACAAAGCAAUGACUGAAAAAUCUUUCACAACCAUCCAAGAUAGCCUGGUAAGCUAAGAAAUUCCAAAUCUCAAUUACGACUCGUGGUUGUUCCAAAUUCUCAAUUUCUGCUAUCUUUUAAGGAUUCACUUGAAUACCUUAAGAAUAUAUAACAAAUCUCAGAAUGCCACCUGAUUCAUCUAACUUUAGCAUUUGCUACUUAGCAUACAACCGACAUUCUUCCAAUCUUUGUUCCACCGACUUAAUACGUUUACAUGCUCUGCUCUGGCUCAGAAUAUGCCAGAAUAUCUUCAAUGAAAAUGAUAUCUAUUUAUCAAGGCAUUAUUGGAAUACUUCAUCCAAUAACUCAUAAAAUAGCAUGAGUAUCCAUAUAGCAUCACCAAACUUCAUAAAGACUAUAACGAGUCCAGAAAACCAUCUUAUGAUCAACGUCACUUAUAAUAUUCAAUUGGUAGUAACCAGAUCUCAAUUCAAUCUUUGAAUCUUCGCAAUUACUUCUGAGCUGGUUAAAUAAACAUCAGUACAUUACCAUGGAUAACGGUUCUUAAUCGUUACCCCGACUCCAUUGUCUAUAAUCAAUGAACAAUCUCUAAGUCCAUUUUCUUUCUCACCAACAAACUGGUGCUCCUCAAAAGUGUUGUACUAGGUUGAAUGAAACUUUUAUCAACCAAUUCUUUCAACUGAAUUUCCAAUUCCCUUAACUCAUCCUGAACCAAUCUUUAACAUAGAUUUAUACCUGGCAACAAUUCAAUAGUGAACCUCAUAUCUCUGCCCGAAGGCAAUCCAGGUAUACUUUCAGGGAAGACAUCAAGAAAGUCUAACCCCUUUUGACAUUAUUCACACUACUCCAAACAACAUCAUUUAGCACCACAUGAGCUAAUAUUUUUGACAGCCUUUCAAAAACAAUCUCUUUGCUCUCACAGCGUAAAUAACGGCCUGACUCAAUCCACUUUGCAUACUUACAAAAGUAAUCUCUGGUCAUCCAGAUCGAUGGAAAGUGACUGGUUUCCCGUAACAAUCCAUUUAGUCACAAUUAUAACCAACCAAUCUAAUGGAAAUAAUUUAACCGACACAAUAUAUAUUCUAUUAUUAUUAAGCAUUCUAAAUAAGUACAAUACUAACAUAAAAUAAUCUACCAGGUUGCUUGCUUAACGAAUCCACGAAUGAGUUAUUAAUAUUACGGUCUGCAGCCCGCAAUACUGAUAAAUCAUCGUUGUCUCGAUAAGUAGGCAACCACUCUCAAAGAUAUAACAUUACUAUUUUGUUACUCAAUGCAAAAUACAUACACUCGUCUCAACUACAUUUAUUUACUACUUUCUAGGUAAUAACAUACAUAAUAAGAAAUAUAUCAGCCGAAGUCAACUAGAAUGACCAAUACGGUUGAUUCAACUCUUAUCUUAAUAAUACGUCGGCCGGAUCCACUUCGCGUGGUCGGUACGGCCGAGCCUAUAACUCACUAAUUUCUCAUGGUCUGUACAGCUGAACAUAUAACUCAUCAAAUCUCUCUGUACUCACGGUCAAUCCGACCAAACUACUAAGUCCAUAACUCUGCUGAAUCGACACUAUGAUAUCAUGGAAAAUUAUUGAGUACAACUGAUUCUAGGGACGAUUCACAAUUCUGUGUCCCCUCUGUUCACAUAAACACAUUCAUUAAUUUCACACUUCCCAAAGUGUUAAUUUUUGUACCUGCUGCACAAAGUACAUUUCCUUUACUCGAGACACCUUGUCUCAAAUAUCUGGGAUUACCAGUAUAUCCAUCACUUUUACUCUGACCAGCGACAUUAAAACCUCAACUGGAAAAAUUAACUCUAGCUUCACUUCUUUUGAAGCUCUGAGUCUUUCGAUAUUCUUGAUAUGACGAAUCAUUAACUUUAUCGUUCUUUCAUCUAAUUCCCAUUCUUUUCUUAUUCAUCUUUACUCUCGCUGAUCAUAUUCUCAGAGUCCUCAAGGCUCAACAACAUCUCAUAUACUCCUGGUAAGAAAUACCAUGGAUAGGGGUCACCCAAAAAUACCACUUCCUUUUGUCACCCAGCCUAAAACAACAUAACACCUCCACCAAAUUCACAACAAUAUCUGGAUGGAACGAGGCAAGUCUGAAAACUUUCUAUAAUAUCCCUCGAUCAUCACCUUCCUUGUCUCAUAUUUGUAAACUCUUGUUUACUACCAUCAAUAAAUGCCAGAGGGAUAAACUUUUCCUUAAACAAUUUUAAAUCGGUUGUUCCUCCGAUGACAACAAAUCAUACUCCUGUUUCCACCAGGAUACACAAAUUCAUACCCAAAACCAGGUAGUCGUCUCGACCCCCUGUCAGAAGGAAGAUUCCUUUGACUUGCAUAAUCUCUGAAACAUCUUUUCCAAAUGGUUAAAACCGUUACUUCGCUCCCUCAGGUUCAUCAUUUCAUAAGGUGAUUCAAAUUCGACUCAUAACCCGUCUUAAAAUGUCCCUUUUUAUAAUAGACUGAAUCACCAUAAUAAUAGUUUUCCCUAAACCACUAUAUUAGGGAGACUAAAUUCCUCUAACUAAGUGGCUUGCUACAAGACAGUGUAGUUCUGACAGAAUUCACUAGAACUUCUCAAAAUGUCCAAGAUUGCAACCAUGCUCUGAUACCAACUGACACACCCCGUCCCGAAGGAGGGCAUGCUGGCCGUCACGUGAGAGUGACGUAACCAUUUGCACAGUACGGAAGCUUUAAGAUACAAUUUAUAAGUUGAUACACCCGAAGGUGAGUCCUAAUUUUGUCCAAUCUGUCAGAACCCCGCUGUAUUCCUCGUAGUCACCACACCUUUGUGAUUCCUGAACCUGGAGGGGCGCAAAACCAAAAUUCAGUGGGUCAGUAAAACAAUUCUUUUCCAAAUCCAAACAUUUUUCAAAAACGUUGUAACCCCUCUCUCUGUAAAACCUGUAUAUUUUCCCAGAAAUGUAAAAUAUAAAUAUACAUAUAUAUUCUCAAUACUUUAAUUCAUUAACUCAACAUUUUUUUCUUUAUCAAUCAUGCCAUGCCAUGUCUAAUUCAAACAGUUAAGUAUGGAUGCAUCAACAAUAAUCAUAUCAGGUGCAAGAAAGUAAUCAACCGGAGGCCCUCUAAUAGCCCUGUACGGUUGAACCUAGAGCUCAAAAUCUAUCACUAUCACUCUACCGGAGUCACCUCUGUGACCCGUCCGGCCUUCUGCACACAAGUUACGCUCUAGUGCUUCUCAUAAAUCAUCUGUGCACAUAAUCUAAGGUCACCCACCAGUCGGAAUCUCACUAACACUCUCGCGACUGGCCUGUCGUACCCACUCCGCGUGGACUGUACGACUAGCAUCUACUUGGAUCCAAGGCGAGCGUGCGAUGCGGUGAAUACUAUAAGCACUAAACCAUGGUGCAGGAUUUGAGCUCAAUAUAUAUCAUCAUCAUCAUAACAGUAAUUAAAUACUCACCUGUGCGUCCACCGCACCAUUUCAUACAUAUGCAUCAUAAAUCAAUUCUUACCUGUGCGUCCACCGCACCAAUUCAUACAUAUGCAUCAUAAAUCAAUUCUUACAUGUGCGUCCACCGCACCAAUUCAUACAUAUGCAUCAUAUAUUAAUUCAUGCAUGGCAUUUCAACUCACAUUUCUAUAUACUUUUUCAUAUACUUUUAUGCAUUUUCAUUUAAAGCAUAAUUUCAUGCAUUUUCAAUUUCUGGGAAACGUCAAGUAUAUAUAUAUAUAUACGGAAAACAAAACUGCCCACUCACCUGGAGUUCGCCCUACAACUCCCUAGCACAAUACGCCAAGGCGUCAUGACGAUCGGCGCCUAAAACAAUAAUCAAUUCCAACCUCAGAAUUCAUAUCGAUAGAAUAUAUAACUUAUAUAAAAUACGUCACUACGUAGAUUGAUCCGGAAGAUCCACCCACUCAGAUUUUAAUCCAUAACUUCCAGAGGUCCACAUUAUACCUCUAGGACAACAUCCUAAAAUUUCAUUACCAUCCAACGGUCGGAUCUCCGUCAAUUUCCAAAACUAAGUGACGGUUAACAUUUUUUAUAUUAUGGACUUACAAUUCCAAUUCCGGAAGAUCCGUAACUCGGAUUCCCAAUCCGUAAGUUCCAAUAAUCCUCAAAUAUUACGUAUUACAACGUAUCAAAGUUUGGUGACGAUCCAACGGUCGGAUCGUCAAUUCACAUUUUCACCUAAAUGUGAAAAUUAUAAAACGUUAUUUGAACACCUAACCAACAAUCCUCAAUAACUUUCUCAUACGGUGUUCAAUUUAGGUAUAUGAAUAUACCAUAGUGAUCUACUCGACGUCACGGACGUCGACAUAUUUUUAAAAUAAUUUUAUUUUAUUUUUUUAUUUUUACUGUAGCACCUUCUUCUUCCUUGGGUCGCCGGACUGGUUUUUCCGGCGGCCGUUUUCUGGGCAGUUUUUUCAAAUUGCCAUUAACUUUGUCAUUUCUCAACGAAAUCAAGUGAUUCAAAAACGAAAGUUGUAGCCCUUGAAGAGACAAAGAGAAUGGUACCUUGCACAACACCUAUUUAGCCGUGGUUUGGCCGGAAACUGCCUCGAAAGCCUCGGAGGUCGCCGGAAACUGGGUAUUUUUCAAAUGAGUAUAAACUUCUUCAAUACUCAACGAAAUUGAGUGAAACAAAAAUGAAAGUUGUAGUACUUGACGAGACGAAGAGAUUGAUACCUACCUCGACUCCUAACUCGCCGGGGAUUCGCCGGAAAACGCCUCGAAAGCUCCGGCCAAACUUUGAACUUGUCGAUCUCCGUGUUCUUACGUCCAAAAACUUCCAACGAAGCACUCCGAGCUUCCUUGGGACAUCCUAAAGCUCACUAUGAGCUUGGUUUUGGCCUAAAACACAACCAAUUCAAAGCUCAUGAACAGUACACAUUCACGGCAACUUUAGAAACUAGGGUUUUCGAAGUGAAACUUACUUGAAAUGGGUAUCAUCGUGAUCGUAUGGUCUUCAGGAGUACGAUGACACUCUUAAAUCCGUCGUUGGUGGAAGUUUAGGGUGUUUUUGUGGUGGUCUUGGUGGUUGCCGUGUGUUCGAGAGGGUGAGAGAGAGAGAUCUGAAAUGGAAGAAGAAGAGAGAAAAGGAAAGGUUACGGAAAAUGGGGAGGAAAUUAGGGUAUAGGACCCUACCUAAAGUCCAACACAACAAUAGCUUAGAAAUUUUAGGUAAAACAAACACCAAAAUUACGCACCUUAAUCCCGUUUAAGGGCGUUUUUGUAAUUUCACGUCCUCGGAAUUAAAAAUUCCGGGACGGGCUGUGACA
rnacentral:lncRNA from 1 species